rnacentral:rRNA from 1 species
UACAGAGGUCCCAAGCGUUGUUCGGAUUCACUGGGCGUAAAGGGUGCGUAGGUGGUGAGGUAAGUCGGAUGUGAAAUCUCCGAGCUCAACUCGGAAAUUGCAUUGGAAACUACCUUGCUUGAGGGUUGGAGGGGGGACUGGAAUGCUUGGUGUAGCAGUGAAAUGCGUAGAUAUCAAGCGGAACACCAGUGGCGAAGGCGAAUCUCUGGACAGUUACUGACACUGAGGCACGAAGGCCAGGGGAGCAAACGGG